rnacentral:rRNA from 1 species
AUACGUAUGGGGCAAGCGUUAUCCGGAUUCAUUGGGCGUAAAGCGCGUGUAGGCGGCUUGUUAAGUCAGAUGUGAAAACCGGGGGCUUAACCCGCGGCGUGCAUCUGAAACUGGCAGGCUUGAGUCUGGUAGAGGAAAGUGGAAUUCCUAGUGUAGCGGUGAAAUGCGCAGAUAUUAGGAGGAACACCAGUGGCGAAGGCGGCUUUCUGGGCCACGACUGACGCUGAGACGCGAAAGCUAGGGGAGCAAACAGGAUUAGAAACCCGAGUAGUCC